rnacentral:rRNA from 1 species
AUUGAACGCUGGCGGCAUGCUUUACACAUGCAAGUCGAACGGCAGCGCGGGGCAACCUGGCGGCGAGUGGCGAACGGGUGAGUAAUACAUCGGAACGUACCCAGAAGUGGGGGAUAACGUAGCGAAAGUUACGCUAAUACCGCAUACGUUCUACGGAAGAAAGUGGGGGAUCUUCGGACCUCAUGCUUUUGGAGCGGCCGAUGGCUGAUUAGCUAGUUGGUGAGGUAAAGGCUCACCAAGGCGACGAUCAGUAGCUGGUCUGAGAGGACGACCAGCCACACUGGGACUGAGACACGGCCCAGACUCCUACGGGAGGCAGCAGUGGGGAAUUUUGGACAAUGGGCGCAAGCCUGAUCCAGCAAUGCCGCGUGAGUGAAGAAGGCCUUCGGGUUGUAAAGCUCUUUUGUCAGGGAAGAAACGGCUGGGGCUAAUACCUCUGGCUAAUGACGGUACCUGAAGAAUAAGCACCGGCUAACUACGUGCCAGCCGCCGCGGUAA